AGUGAACGCUGGCGGCAGGCCUAACACAUGCAAGUCGAACGGCAGCACAAGAGAGCUUGCUCUCUGGGUGGCGAGUGGCGGACGGGUGAGGAAUGCAUCGGAAUCUGCCCAUUUGUGGGGGAUAACCUCGGGAAACCGGGACUAAUACCGCAUACGACCUACGGGUGAAAGCAGGGGAUCUUCGGACCUUGCGCAGAUGGAUGAGCCGAUGCCGGAUUAGCUAGUUGGAGGGGUAAAGGCCCACCAAGGCGACGAUCCGUAGCUGGUCUGAGAGGAUGAUCAGCCACACUGGGACUGAGACACGGCCCAGACUCCUACGGGAGGCAGCAGUGGGGAAUAUUGGACAAUGGGCGCGAGCCUGAUCCAGCCAUGCCGCGUGUGUGAAGAAGGCCUUCGGGUUGUAAAGCACUUUUGUUGGGAAAGAAAAGCAGCCGGUUAAUACCCGGUUGUCAUGACGGUACCCAAAGAAUAAGCACCGGCUAACUUCGUG
rnacentral:rRNA from 1 species